AGGGUUCCCAUUGGUUGGGGAAGUGUAGUAGGAGGGAUUUCCGGAGGAGGGAUUUCCUGUUGGUGUAGUGUAUUCUGGGAGAAGGCCACAUACCUGGCGUUCACGGGAGUUUUGGAAAUAAAGUUUGUUCCUGCUUGAGUGGCUCAUGAUUUUGUGCCCAGCCAGACUGCGGCAGUUAGUCAGAAGGGGAAGUCCUGAACCAGAGGCUAGGCUCUGGUAGGUGUCUGCCCCAACUGAGGAAAGGUGGACCAGGCCUGCUGUGAGCCUGGUCCUGCACAGGCCUGUGUGGAUGGUUCUGGGCCGCCCAGGCUUGACCUCCCACCUGAAAAAAUCUUACAAAGAUAAAUAUUUAAACUAGAAGUCUAAAUUGUUUUCAAGAAAAACAAAUACAUUUGUCCACAGAAAGACUUGUAUCUAAAUUUUCUCAGAAACUUUGCCAAUAACAACCUUAAUCUAUAAAUAAUCUGAAUGUCAAUCUCUGGAAGAAUGGGAAAAAUGCUGCAUGGUACAUUUAGGUAAUGAAUUGAUAUGUUGCAGAAACCCACUUCACAAACUGGAACACAACAAAUUACACGCAACAACAAGGAAGAAACUCAGAUUUUAAGUUGCAGUCUGGACUGGAAAAGAAAUUCCAAAGAUUGGACCAUUUAAAUAAGUUUUCAUUGAGAAACUGAUUCCUAUAACUUUAUGAGAACCAAGGAUUGUAUAUUUGUAAUUAUGCAUUUGUAAUUUUGAAGAGAUGAAUGAAGCUUUCUUUCACUAACAGACUAUACCCAAAGGACUUAAAAACGGCAUACUACAGGGACACAGCCACAUC